UCGAUGAAGUGAAGCUCGGUGGUGGGCGA
rnacentral:sRNA from 1 species